rnacentral:rRNA from 1 species
UGGACGAAAGUCUGACCGAGCAACGCCGCGUGAGUGAAGAAGGUUCUCGGAUCGUAAAGCUCUGUUGUAAGUCAAGAACGUGUGUGAGAGUGGAAAGUUCACACAGUGACGGUAGCUUACCAGAAAGGGACGGCUAACUACGUGCCAGCAGCCGCGGUAAUACGUAGGUCCCGAGCGUUGUCCGGAUUUAUUGGGCGUAAAGGGAGCGCAGGCGGUCAGGAAAGUCUGGAGUAAAAGGCUAUGGCUCAACCAUAGUGUGCUCUGGAAACUGUCUGACUUGAGUGCAGAAGGGGAGAGUGGAAUUCCAUGUGUAGCGGUGAAAUGCGUAGAUAUAUGGAGGAACACCAGUGGCGAAAGCGGCUCUCUGGUCUGUCACUGACGCUGAGGCUCGAGAGCGUGGGUAGCGAACAGGGUUAGAUACCCUGGUAGUCCACGCCGUAAACGAUGAGUGCUAGGUGUUAGGCCCUUUCCGGGGCUUAGUGCCGGAGCUAACGCAAUAAGCACUCCGCCUGGGGAGUACGACCGCAAGGUUGAAACUCAAAGGAGUUGACGGGGGCCCGCACAAGCGGUGGAGCAUGUGGUUUAAUUCGAAGCAACGCGAAGAACCUUACCAGGUCUUGACAUCCC